rnacentral:misc_RNA from 1 species
AAGUCGUAACAAGGUCUCCGUAGGUGAACCUGCGGAGGGAUCAUUAGAAAUGCUUGUAUUUUUCAUUUGGUGAACGUGUUCUUUGAAUGCGCUCAUCGGAUGGAAACAUCAUUUCCUGGCUUUUGUCGACACUCGUCUAGCCUCACGGCCGGGCUUGGGUCGCAAUUGCCGGAUAAUCGGGAAGAAGCCUUGUGCUUUGACCCACUAUCUACACCUUUUUAGUCUGAACCUCUUCAGCGAAAGUCUGGAUAAUCGUGCUUCGGCGCGUGCAUUCUUUCUUUUAAUGAUAAAAACAAAAAUUAAAACAACUUUCAACAAUGGAUCCCUCGAUUCUCC